CGGGACGGGUGAGUAAUGUCUGGGAAACUGCCUGAUGGAGGGGGAUAACUGCUGGAAACGGUAGCUAAUACCGCAUAACGUCGCAAGACCAAAGAGGGGGACCUUCGGGCCCCUUGCCAUCGGAUGUGCCCAGAUGGGAUUGGCUAGUAGGUGGGGUAACGGCUCACCCAGGCGACGAUCCCUAGCUGGUCUGAGAGGAUGGCCAGCCACACUGGAACUGAGACACGGUCCAG
rnacentral:rRNA from 1 species